rnacentral:rRNA from 1 species
UACGAAGGGGCUAGCGUUGCUCGGAAUCACUGGGCGUAAAGAGCGCGUAGGCGGUCCGGUAAGUCCGCUCUGAAAGUCCGGGGCUCAACCCCGGGAGGCGGGCGGAUACUGUCGGGCUAGAGUCCGGAAGAGGCGAGUGGAAUUCCUGGUGUAGCGGUGAAAUGCGCAGAUAUCAGGAGGAACACCAGUGGCGAAGGCGGCUUCCUGGCCCGAAUCUGACGCUGAGGUGCGAAAGCGUGGGGAGCGAUCCGG